rnacentral:rRNA from 1 species
AGUGAACGCUGGCGGUAUGCCUAACACAUGCAAGUCGAACGGCAGCACAGUAAGAGCUUGCUCUUACGGGUGGCGAGUGGCGGACGAGUGAGGAAUACAUCGGAAUCUACUUUUUCGUGGGGGAUAACGUAGGGAAACUUACGCUAAUACCGCAUACGACCUACGGGUGACAGCAGGGGAUCUUCGGACCUUGCGCGAUUGAAUGAGCCGAUGUCGGAUUAGCUAGUUGGCGGGGUAAAGGCCCACCAAGGCGACGAUCCGUAGCUGGUCUGAGAGGAUGAUCAGCCACACUGGAACUGAGACACGGUCCAGACUCCUGCGGGAGGCAGCAGUGGGGAAUAUUGGACAAUGGGCGCAAGCCUGAUCCAGCCAUACCGCGUGGGUGAAGAAGGCCUUCGGGUUGUAAAGCCCUUUUGUUGGGAAAGAAAAGCAGCAGGUUAAUACCCCGCUGUUCUGACGGUACCCAAAGAAUAAGCACCGGCUAACUUCGUG